AGAGUUUGAUCAUGGCUCAGGAUGAACGCUAGCGGCAGGCCUAAUACAUGCAAGUCGAACGAUACCAUCUGGCUUGCCAGAUGGGAAAGUGGCGCACGGGUGCGUAACGCGUAUGCAACCUACCUUAAUCAGGGGGAUAGCCCGAAGAAAUUCGGAUUAACACCGCAUAAAAACACAGUACAGCAUUGUACAAUGUUCAAAUAUUUAUAGGAUUAAGAUGGGCAUGCGUGUCAUUAGCUAGUUGGCGGGGUAACGGCCCACCAAGGCGACGAUGACUAGGGGAUCUGAGAGGAUGACCCCCCACACUGGUACUGAGACACGGACCAGACUCCUACGGGAGGCAGCAGUAAGGAAUAUUGGUCAAUGGAGGCAACUCUGAACCAGCCAUGCCGCGUGCAGGAAGACAGCCCUCUGGGUCGUAAACUGCUUUUAUUCGGGAAUAAACCUAUUUACGUGUAAAUAGCUGAAUGUACCGAAGGAAUAAGGAUCGGCUAACUCCGUGCCAGCAGCCGCGGUAAUACGGAGGAUCCAAGCGUUAUCCGGACUUAUUGGGUUUAAAGGGUGCGUAGGCGGCUUAUUAAGUCAGGGGUGAAAGACGGUGGCUCAACCAUCGCAGUGCCCUUGAUACUGAUGAGCUUGAAUGAACUAGAGGUAGGCGGAAUGUGACAAAGCGGUGAAAUGCAUAGAUAUGUCACAGAACACCGAUUGCGAAGGCAGCUUACUAUGGUUUUAUUGACGCUGAGGCACGAAAGCGUGGGGAUCAAACAGGAUUAGAUACCCUAGUAGUCC
rnacentral:rRNA from 1 species